AUUGAACGCUGGCGGCAGGCCUAACACAUGCAAGUCGGACGGUAGCACAGAGAGCUUGCUCUUGGGUGACGAGUGGCGGACGGGUGAGUAAUGUCUGGGGAUCUGCCCGAUAGAGGGGGAUAACCACUGGAAACGGUGGCUAAUACCGCAUAACGUCGCAAGACCAAAGAGGGGGACCUUCGGGCCUCCCACUAUCGGAUGAACCCAGAUGGGAUUAGCUAGUAGGCGGGGUAAUGGCCCACCUAGGCGACGAUCCCUAGCUGGUCUGAGAGGAUGACCAGCCACACUGGAACUGAGACACGGUCCAGACUCCUACGGGAGGCAGCAGUGGGGAAUAUUGCACAAUGGGCGCAAGCCUGAUGCAGCCAUGCCGCGUGUAUGAAGAAGGCCUUCGGGUUGUAAAGUACUUUCAGCGGGGAGGAAGGCGGUGAGGUUAAUAACCUCACCGAUUGACGUUACCCGCAGAAGAAGCACCGGCUAACUCCGUGCCAGCCGCCGCAGUAA
rnacentral:rRNA from 1 species